AUUGAACGCUGGCGGCAAGCCUAACACAUGCAAGUCGAACGAGUGGCGGACGGGUGAGUAAUGUCUGGGAAACUGCCUGAUGGAGGGGGAUAACUACUGGAAACGGUAGCUAAACCCGAAUACAAUCGGAUGUGCCCAGAUGGGAUUAGCUAGUAGGUGGGUAAAAGGCUCACCUAGGCGACGCUCCCUAGCGGGUCUGAGAGGAUGACCAGCCACACUGGAACUGGGACACGGUCCAGACUCCUACGGGAGGCAGCAGUGGGGAAUAUUGCACAAUGGGCGCAAGCCUGAUGCAGCCAUGCCGCGUGUAUGAAGAAGGCCUUCGGGUUGUAAAGUACUUUCAGCGGGGAGGCGUUACCCGCAGAAGAAGCACCGGCUAACUCCGUGCCAGCAGCCGCGGUAAUAC
rnacentral:rRNA from 1 species